UGUGUAGGUGGUGGCAUAAGUCGGAUGUGAAAGCCCUGGGCUUAACCUGGGAAUGGCAUUCGAAACUGUGUCACUAGAGUUUAGUAGAGGGAAGUGGAAUUCCGGGUGUAGCGGUGAAAUGCGUAGAUAUCCGGAGGAACAUCAGUGGCGAAGGCGGCUUCCUGGACUAAAACUGACACUGAGGCACGAAAGCGUGGGGAGCAAACAGGAUUAGAUACCCUGGUAGUCC
rnacentral:rRNA from 1 species